AAAACCGGGACGGAGUCGGGACACCGAGACACCGGAGAGCUCGGGACGGGACCGGCGCGCGGAGGCCGGCCAGCACGGUUCGACAUGGUCGCCGGUACAGAACGACAGAAACGAGCUACUGCCUGUGAAAGUGCUUCUUGUAAAUGGUCUGAGCAGUUGCUGAAGGUUUGCAGCAGAGGAAACCUCUUCAGAUGGA